rnacentral:rRNA from 1 species
GAAUGAAUAUGGGGGGACCAUCCUCCAAGGCUAAAUACUCCUGACUGACCGAUAGUGAACCAGUACCGUGAGGGAAAGGCGAAAAGAACCCCGGCGAGGGGAGUGAAAAAGAACCUGAAACCGUGUACGUACAAGCAGUGGGAGCCCCACCACUAAGCCAGUGGUGAACUCCACAUCCGCAUCCUUUGCUGAGGAUACGGUUAACGGAGCGAAAGCGACGUUCAACCGCAAAACAAGCAGAGGGGGCUUAGUGGUGGGGUGACUGCGUACCUUUUGUAUAAUGGGUCAGCGACUUAUAUUCUGUAGCAAGGUUAACCGAAUAGGGGAGCCGGAGGGAAACCGAGUCUUAAUUGGGCGUUAAGUUGCAGGGUAUAGACCCGAAACCCGGUGAUCUAGC